UACGAAGGUCCCAAGCGUUAUCCGGAUUUAUUGGGUUUAAAGGGUGCGUAGGCGGGCUAUUAAGUCAGUGGUGAAAGCCUCAAGCUUAACUUGAGAAUUGCCAUUGAUACUGAUGACCUUGAGUACAUUUGAAGUGGGCGGAAUGUGUCAUGUAGCGGUGAAAUGCUUAGAUAUGACACAGAACACCGAUUGCGUAGGCAGCUCACUAAACUGUUACUGACGCUGAGGCACGAAAGCGUGGGGAGCAAACAGG
rnacentral:rRNA from 1 species